AACGAAAUAAAAGUUGAAAGAAAACAAAAGAAAGUAUAUCAAUCCAGUUGCUUUCUGUUUGGCAAACUCCACCUCCUGUACUACAGAAACCCUGCUAACCCAACAACAGUACCAGGUGCCUGUACUACAGAAACCCUGCUAACCCAACAGUACUAGGUGCCUGUACUACAGAAACCCUGCUAACCCAACAACAGUACUAGGUGCCUGUACUACAGAAACCCUGCUAACCCAACAACAGUACUAGGUGCCUGUACUACAGAAACCCUGUUAACCCAACAACAGUACUAGGUGCCUGUACUACAGAAACCCUGCUAACCCAACAACAGUACUAGGUGCCUGUACUACAGAAACCCUGCUAACCCAACAACAGUACUAGGUGCCUGUACUACAGAAACCCUGCUAACCCAACAACAGUACUAGGUGCCUGUACUACAGAAACCCUGCUAACCCAACAACAGUA